rnacentral:rRNA from 1 species
AGCGAACGUUAGCGGCGGGCCUAACACAUGCAAGUCGAACGCGAAAGGUCUUCGGACUGAGUAGAGUGGCGCACGGGUGAGUAACACGUAGGUAAUCUACCCUUUGGCGGGGGAUAACGUUCCGAAAGGAGCGCUAAUACCGCAUAAGACCACGGAGUCUCCGGACGCUGUGGGAAAAGGUGGCCUCUUCUUGAAAGCUACCACCGAAGGAUGAGCCUGCGUCCCAUCAGCUAGUUGGUAAGGUAAUGGCUUACCAAGGCGAAGACGGGUAGCUGGUUUGAGAGAAUGAUCAGCCACACUGGCACUGGAACACGGGCCAGACUCCUACAGGAGGCAGCAGUGAGGAAUAUUGGGCAAUGGGCGAAAGCCUGACCCAGCCACGCCGCGUGAGUGAUGAAGGCCCUCGGGUCGUAAAGCUCUGUGGAGAGGGACGAAAACCCUGGUUUCAAAUAGGCUCCAGGCUUGACGGUACCUCUUUAGCAAGCACCGGCUAACUCUGUGCCAG